rnacentral:rRNA from 1 species
UACCAGCACCCCGAGUGGUCGGGACGAUUAUUGGGCCUAAAGCAUCCGUAGCCGGUCCUACAAGUCUUCCGUUAAAUCCACCUGCUUAACAGAUGGGCUGCGGAAGAUACUAUAGGGCUAGGAGGCGGGAGAGGCAAGCGGUACUCAGUGGGUAGGGGUAAAAUCCUCUGAUCCAUUGAAGACCACCAGUGGCGAAGGCGGCUUGCCAGAACGCGCUCGACGGUGAGGGAUGAAAGCUGGGGGAGUCAACCAGGG